GUCCACGCUGUAAACGAUGGGCACUAGGUGUCGCGGGUAUUGACCCCUGCGGUGCCGCAGCUAACGCACUAAGUGCCCCGCCUGGGGACUACGGCCGCAAGGUUAAAACUCAAAGGAAUUGACGGGGGCCCGCACAAGCGGUGGAGCAUGUGGUUCAAUUCGACGCAACGCGAAGAACCUUACCCGGGCUAGACAACAGAGGACAGCUUUAGAAAUAAAGUCUUCCCUUCGGGGACCUCUGGUUCAGGUGCUGCAUGGCUGUCGU
rnacentral:rRNA from 1 species